rnacentral:snoRNA from 1 species
UUAUGAUGAUACCCAUGAGCUGGCACCAGUCCUAGCAAGAUUUGUACUCUGUUUGAUGCGGAAUGCUUAACCCGGGCUAAGAAAAAGCCCAUCUGAA